AACUUGGAAGUAAAUGAGACUGAACUAUGUGGUUGUAACAAAGAGUAGGGACUUCAUUAAUAGCAAGGUCUCUAGGAGUCACACUUGAUGGCAGGUAGGACUUGAUGAGAGUUUGAUGAUAAUGAGUCGUCAUAGCCAGUGUACCUUCACAAAAGUUCAUAUAUAUGCCAGUGUAUCGUUAAAAUAUGAAUUUCGAAAAAGAAAAAAAUAUAAGAGCAGCUCCAUAGGUUAUAGUCUUCUAGAUAGAAUAUCUAAGAUAAAAAGAAGAGUCAUUCUUGGGUUCACUCCCUAGGGUGAACCAAUAGGUUCACCAACCAAUAGAAUUUCAUUAUUUCAAAUUCGAUAUCUUUUAAAAAAGGAAACAAAAUAUUCUCAAAUUAUAUUAUGUUUUUAAAAUAAAAAAAGAUAAUAGUUACAGAAAAAAGAAUUAAAAAAAUAUAUUUUAAUGUUCUCAACAAAACACUAAACCCUAAAUCCUAAUCCCUAAACCCUAAAUCCUAAACCCUAAACCCUUGGAUAAACCCUAAACCCUUGGGUAAAUCCUAAAUCCUUGGGUAAAUCCUAAACCUUUGGGUAAAUCUUAAACCCUUGGGUAAACCCUAAACCCUUGGAUAAAUCCUAAACUCUAAAUAAAAAAUACUAAAACCCUAAACCCUAAACGCUUGAAUGUUUUAGUGUAUAGUGAUUUUGAUUUAGAGUUUUGGAUUUAUCCUAGAAUUUAGGGUUUAUCCAAGGGUUUAGGGUUUAGGAUUAAGGGUUUAGGGAUUAGAAUUUAGGGUUUAGGGUUUAAUGUUAUGCUGACGAUGUAAA
rnacentral:lncRNA from 1 species